rnacentral:rRNA from 1 species
AUGCCGACCUUCGCGCUCACGGUGCUGCGAAUACCAAAGAAAUUCAUUAAGGAGAUAGACAAGUCGAGACGGCGCUUCCUCUGGGUGGGAUACGAAGAAAUCACGGGCGGCAAAUGCAAGGUUGGCUGGGCGUCGGUGAUCAUGCCAGAGCACCAGGGCGGGCUGGGUAUUCCGGACCUCAGUCGUUUUGCCCGGGCUCUACGGCUGCGCUGGCUCUGGCUCUCCUGGAGGCAGCCAACCAGACCCUGGGUUGGAACCGGGACACCGCGCGACGCCGCUGACCGGGCUCUGUUCGUGGCCUCCACGACGGUGACCAUUGGGAACGGGACUACUGCAUCUUUCUGGUCGUGCUCUUGGCUUGGAGGGUGGUAG